rnacentral:rRNA from 1 species
AGCGAACGCUGGCGGCAGGCCUAACACAUGCAAGUCGAACGAACUCUUCGGAGUUAGUGGCGGACGGGUGAGUAACACGUGGGAACGUGCCUUUUGGUUCGGAAUAACUCAGGGAAACUUGUGCUAAUACCGAAUGUGCCCUUCGGGGGAAAGAUUUAUCGCCAUUAGAGCGGCCCGCGUCUGAUUAGCUAGUUGGUGAGGUAACGGCUCACCAAGGCGACGAUCAGUAGCUGGUCUGAGAGGAUGACCAGCCACACUGGGACUGAGACACGGCCCAGACCCCUCCGGGGGGCAGCAGGGGGGAAUCUUGCGCAAUGGGCGAAAGCCUGACGCAGCCAGGCCGCGGGAAUUAUGAAGGUUUUAGGAUUGUAAAAUUCUUUCACCGGGGACGAUAAUGACGGUACCCGGAGAAGAAGCCCCGGCUAACUUCGU